rnacentral:snoRNA from 1 species
GGCAAUUCAGUGAGACUGUCUCAAAAUCAAAUGGACAAAGACUUACAUAGACAAGUUCAAAAAAUAAAUCCUCUUUUGCAACCCAGAACUCUGUUGUUCAAUAUGAGUUCUGAUACAUAUAAGCAGGAAUAUU